rnacentral:tmRNA from 1 species
GGGGGCGACCGGCUUCGACGUGGGUUGCGACACCGGAGGUGCAUGUCGAGCUGAUAGUAACUCGUAAAACUGCUGUAAAAUAUAUAAACGCUGAAAAUAAACCUUUAGCUCUAGCAGCCUAACUGCCGCUAGCCUCUCUUAGAGUAGGCUUAUAUGCUCUAAACAGAGGUCAUAAUGAUAAGAUCGUAGUCCAUAAGCUUGUUAAUGGGCUAUUAAAUUUAAACAAGCUAGUAGUUAUGUAGGUUGUCUUUAACCAGCAUACCUGCAAAAUUUAAUUAAAGACUAUGCAUGUAGUACCAAUGGCCGAGUGCUCUCGGACGGGGGUUCGAUUCCCCCCGCCUCCACU